AAAGAUGAAGUAUUGUAUAGGAAGCAACUCUCUAGGGUGAGAAACAUGAAAGCAUCUGUCUGCUUAAUGGCUUGAAUCCUGUCUAAGCACUCAAGCCCACCCUUCUAUCAGCAUCCACACAGGCAGUCUCUUGCAUCCUGCACUCAACCUGGUUCUUUUCUUGCUUUGCAGUUUAGAAAUGGAGCCUGAAACACUGAUUUCAGACAUCCCACUGCAAGAAUUUGGACCAUGUUGCAAAAUGGAUCCCCUGUUUCCAAGCGUUGCUGAUUACUUUUAACUUCAAGACUGAAAAAUAUCUUCAAGCUAGGGAAUCUGAGGGAAGUUGUGAGCUAGGAACAUCUAUUGGUUUUUGGCAGUAUCCAGUGUUGCUAAGGAUGAUUUAAUUCCUACUACCAGUCCUAUUCCCAGAGGUAGCUUCUCCAAGGUGGCUCCUGACAUAGGAAAUGAAUUCUGCAGCAGAAGAGGAGCACAGGGACGUGUCGCCUCCACUCCCCUUCCAGCAAACUCUUCUGAGACCAAUUCUCCCUCAAAGCUGUCCUGGUGAUCACACAGCAGAAAAAUAAUUCCCCAACUGUUGGACCAGGAUAUAGUCUGAAAACUGUUUUCUUAUAUUAUAGAUUGAAAUAGAGAUCUUUUCCAG
rnacentral:lncRNA from 1 species